rnacentral:rRNA from 1 species
CGCUGGCGGCGUGCUUAACACAUGCAAGUCGAGCGAGGAACUUCGGUUCCUAGCGGCGAACGGGUGAGUAACACGUGGGCAACCUGCCCCGAGCUCUGGGAUAACUUCGGGAAACCGGGGCUAAUACCGGAUAUGACACUACUGGACAUCUGGUGGUGUGGAAAGAUUUAUCGGCUUGGGAUGGGCCCGCGGCCUAUCAGCUUGUUGGUGGGGUAACGGCCUACCAAGGCGACGACGGGUAGCCGGCCUGAGAGGGCGAUCGGCCACACUGGGACUGAGACACGGCCCAGACUCCUACGGGAGGCAGCAGUGGGGAAUAUUGCGCAAUGGGCGGAAGCCUGAC